rnacentral:rRNA from 1 species
CCCUUAGAUGUUCUGGGCCGCACGCGCGCUACACUGAUACGUUCAACAAGUUUAUAACCUUGAUCGAUAGGUCUGGGUAAUCUUUUGAAUGCGUAUCGUGCUAGGGAUAGAUUAUUGCAAUUAUUAAUCUUGAACGAGGAAUUCCUAGUAAACGCAAGUCAUCAGCUUGCAUUGAUUACGUCCCUGCCCUUUGUACACACCGCCCGUCGCUCCUACCGAUUGAAUGCUCAGGUGAGUCAUUCGGACUUUCAUCAUGCUGGUUUCCAGUUUUGAUGAAGGAAAGUCUUGCGAACCUUAUCAUUUAGAGGAAGGAGAAGUCGUAACA